GAAAUGCGAUAAGUAAUGUGAAUUGCAGAAUUCCGUGAAUCAUCGAAUCUUUGAACACACAUUGCGCCCUCUGGUAUUCCGGGGGGGCAUGCCUGUCCGAGCGUCAUUGCGAACCCCUCAAGCACGGCUUGUGUGAUGGGCCCUCCCGCGUCUUGGUCGUCAAGACGGGCCCGAAAUGCAGUGGCGGCUUCGCGGUUAUCCGAUCAGCCAGAGCGUAUGGGGACUCUCUCUCUUGUCACACGCCCGCGGCGCGGACCGACGCCUGUCGACCUUUAUUCAUCUUCUCUCGGUUGACCUCGGAUCAGGUAGGGAUACCCGCUGAACUUAAGC
rnacentral:misc_RNA from 1 species